GACGAACGCUGGCGGCGUGCCUAAUACAUGCAAGUAGAACGCUGAAGGAGGAGCUUGCUCUUCUGGAUGAGUUGCGAACGGGUGAGUAACGCGUAGGUAACCUGCCUGGUAGCGGGGGAUAACUAUUGGAAACGAUAGCUAAUACCGCAUAAGAGUAGAUGUUGCAUGACAUUUACUUAAAAGGUGCAAUUGCAUCACUACCAGAUGGACCUGCGUUGUAUUAGCUAGUUGGUGGGGUAACGGCUUACCAAGGCGACGAUACAUAGCCGACCUGAGAGGGGGAGCGGCCACCCUGGGACGUAGACACGGCACAGACUCCUACGGGAGGCAGCAGUAGGGAAUCUUAGACGAUGGUCUGAAGUCUGACCAAGUAAGUCCGAGGAAGUGAAGAAGGUUUACGGAUCGUAAAGCUCUGUUGUAAGAGAAGAACGAGUGUGAGAAUGGAAAGUUCACUCUGUGACGAUAUCUUACCAGAAAGGGACGCCUAACUACUUG
rnacentral:rRNA from 1 species